rnacentral:rRNA from 1 species
GACGAACGCUGGAGGCGUGCUUAACACAUGCAAGUCGAACGAUGAAAUGGAGCUUGCUCCAUGGAUUAGUGGCGAACGGGUGAGUAACACGUGAAUAACCUGCCCUUAAUUUUGGAAUAACCCAGGGAAACCUGGGCUAAUACCGGAUAAGUAAACCUGUGGCAUCACAUGGUUUUGGAAAGUUUUUCGAUUAAGGAUGGAUUCGCGGCCUAUCAGCUUGUUGGUGAGGUAAUGGCUCACCAAGGCGACGACGGGUAGCCGGCCUGAGAGGGUAAACGGCCACACUGGGACUGAGACACGGCACAGACUCCUACGGGAGGCAGCAGUGGGGAAUAUUGCGCAAUGGAAGAAAGUCUGACGCAGCGACGCCUCGUGAGGGACGAAGGUGUUCGGAUUGUAAACCUCUUUCAGCAGGGACGAAGCGAAAGUGACGGUGCCUGCAGAAGAAGCACCGGCUAACUAUGUGCCAGCCGCCGCAGUAA